CCUGCAGCACAGGGAGGGUGUGGGGGGGGGCCGGGCUGCACCCCAGGACCCCGAGUGCCUGGGAGGACACGCUCCUUCCCCCUAAGAUGUCUGCAUCGGACUUUCAAGGUGCAGGGACCUGGGCAGCCCCUCCCCGGGGGACUAGCCACCAGCCAUGGCCCCUGCUGCCUGGGCUUUUAGGGAGAGGUCCCAGGGCACAGACCAGAGGCCGACAGAUACGCUCACUCAGGGGCGAUGCCUCAGGGUCUGGCCCCACUGUAGGGACCACCCGUCACUUCACUGUGGGUGGGGGGGUGCUCCGCUGCCUGUUCUCUCAGGGCCAUUGGCUGGGAGGGGUCACUGUGGCUCCCUGCUAGGCCUGUACCCCCCAGGCUGCAGCCCUGGCUUCUAGAAGCAGUCUGGGGGUUCCUCUCCACGGUGGGCCCUAGGCAGCCACCUUCCCAAGCGCUUACACCCCCAGGGGUGAUGGCUAGCAGACCCCAGGCAGGCUCCAAGAGCCAGGCUCUUAAUCCCGGUGCAGAGAUGUGACAGGCGGAGGGACCGUGCAUGGGAUGUGAAGGGGCUCUGCGCAGGGAGGGGAGGCCAGGAGGGGCAGAAUUGGGGGUCCACCAUCCACCCCCAGGAGUGCCGGGACACUGUGAGCACCCUCUGCUCUAAUGAGAGCAGCCCUGCCUGCCUGAGACCUAAUCACUCAUCAACCAAGGUGGGCUCAACUCUGCAUCACUCAGCUGCAAGCCAGCCCAGUGCAGACACAUUUAAUAACUGAUGGAGUUUGGCUCUUGUCCCCCAGGCUAGAGUGCAGGGGCGUAAUCUCGGCUCA